rnacentral:rRNA from 1 species
CCUACGGGAGGCAGCAGUCGAGAAUCAUUCACAAUGGGGGAAACCCUGAUGGUGCGACGCCGCGUGGGGGAAUGAAGGUCUUCGGAUUGUAAACCCCUGUCAUGUGGGAGCAAAUUAAAAAGAUAGUACCACAAGAGGAAGAGACGGCUAACUCUGUGCCAGCAGCCGCGGUAAUACAGAGGUCUCAAGCGUUGUUCGGAAUCACUGGGCGUAAAGCGUGCGUAGGCUGUUUCGUAAGUCGUGUGUGAAAGGCGCGGGCUCAACCCGCGGACGGCACAUGAUACUGCGAGACUAGAGUAAUGGGAGGGGAACCGGAAUUCGCGGGGUAGCAAUGAAAUGCGGAGAUAUCGGGAGGAACACUCGUGGCGAAGGCGGGUUCCUGGACAUUAACUGACGCUGAGGCACGAAGGCCAGGGGAGCGAAAGGGAUUAGAUACCCCGGGUAGUC